CAGGCGCGGUAAUACGGAGGGUGCAAGCGUUAAUCGGAAUUACUGGGCGUAAAGCGCACGCAGGCGGUCUGUCAAGUCGGAUGUGAAAUCCCCGGGCUCAACCUGGGAACUGCAUUCGAAACUGGCAGGCUAGAGUCUUGUAGAGGGGGGUAGAAUUCCAGGUGUAGCGGUGAAAUGCGUAGAGAUCUGGAGGAAUACCGGUGGCGAAGGCGGCCCCCUGGACAAAGACUGACGCUCAGGUGCGAAAGCGUGGGGAGCAAACAGGAUUAGAUACCCUGGUAGUCCACGCCGUAAACGAUGUCGAUUUGGAGGUUGUGCCCUUGAGGCGUGGCUUCCG
rnacentral:rRNA from 1 species